CCCUUAGAUGUUCUGGGCCGCACGCGCGCUACACUGAAGGGAUCAGCGUGUUUUCCCUUCCCGAGAGGGACGGGUAACCCGCUGAACCCCCUUCGUGGUGGGGAUCGGAGCUUGCAAUUGUUCUCCGUGAACCAGGAAUUCCCAGUAAGCGCAAGUCAUAAGCUUGCGUUGAUUACGUCCCUGCCCUUUGUACACACCGCCCGUCGCUACUACCGAUUGAACGUUUUAGUGAGGUAUUUGGACUGGGCCUUGGGAGGUUUCGGCCUCCCUUGUUGCUCGGAAAGACUCCCAAACUUGAGCGUUUAGAGGAAGUAAAAGUCGUAACA
rnacentral:rRNA from 1 species